rnacentral:rRNA from 1 species
CAGUCGCCGCGGUAAUACAGAGGGUGCAAGCGUUAAUCGGAAUUACUGGGCGUAAAGCGCGCGUAGGUGGUUUGUUAAGUUGGAUGUGAAAUCCCCGGGCUCAACCUGGGAACUGCAUUCAAAACUGACUGACUAGAGUAUGGUAGAGGGUGGUGGAAUUUCCUGUGUAGCGGUGAAAUGCGUAGAGAUCGGAAAGAACACCGGUGGCGAAGGCGGCUACCUGGACUAAUACUGACACUGAGGUACGAAAGCAUGGGGAGCAAACAGGAUUAGAGACCCGAGUAGUCCCUGUCUCUUAUAC